rnacentral:rRNA from 1 species
CGUAGGGGGCAAGCGUUGUCCGGAAUCAUUGGGCGUAAAGAGCGUGUAGGCGGCCCGGUAAGUCCGCUGUGAAAGUCCAGGGCUCAACCCCUGGAAUGCCGGUGGAUACUGUCGGGCUCGAGUCCGGAAGAGGUGAGUGGAAUUCCUGGUGUAGCGGUGAAAUGCGCAGAUAUCAGGAGGAACACCAAUGGCGAAGGCAGCUCACUGGGACGGUACUGACGCUGAGACGCGAAAGCGUGGGGAGCAAACAGGAUUAGAUACCCUGGUAGUCCACGCCGUAAACGAUGGUCACUAGGUGUGGGGGGUGUCGACUCCCUCCGUGCCGGAGCUAACGCAUUAAGUGACCCGCCUGGGGAGUACGGCCGCAAGGCUA